rnacentral:rRNA from 1 species
GUUAGGAAUUUUGCGCAAUGGGAGAAAUCCUGACGCAGCAACGCCGCGUGAGGGAUGAAGGCCUUCGGGUUGUAAACCUCUUUUAGCAGGGAAGAACAAAAUGACGGUACCUGCAGAAAAAGCACCGGCUAACUCUGUGCCAGCAGCCGCGGUAAUACAGAGGGUGCAAGCGUUAUUCGGAAUUAUUGGGCGUAAAGCGCAUGUAGGCGGUUUAAUAAGUCCGGUGUGAAAGCCCUGGGUACAACUCAGGAAGUGCACCGGAUACUGUUAGGCUAGAGUAUGGGAGAGGAGAGUGGAAUUCCAGGUGUAGAGGUGAAAUUCGUAGAUAUCUGGAGGAACAACAGUGGCGAAGGCGACUCUCUGGACCAUUACUGACGCUGAGAUGCGAAAGCGUGGGGAGCAAACAGGAUUAGAAACCCGGGUAGUCC